UAGAUCGGUAAAAUCAGUCCCCGCCUCCAAUCGACCACAUCCACUCCUCCCCCAAUCCCCGUCUCCUCUCCUCCGGCCCCAAUCAGCCGCCUCUCUCAUUUUCUCUCCCUCCGGCACCCUCCUCCAGCUAUCCAAAUUGGAGUAACUGUGACACGUGCAUGGGAGGAGGAGGCGCUACAGGCUGGUGCAGGAGGUGGCGGCCGUGGGGUGGGGUGGGGUGGGGGGGCUGUAGCCGCUGUUGGUGGACGAUGGUGGCCUCAACUGAAGAAGUUGUGUGCCCUCUUCACUCCCCCACCGGCCCUCACCCCUCUCGUCUUCUUCCCGACUAAAAUGGUGCCAGAAGCUCGUCGCCUCUGCCUUUUCUUUCUCCCUCCGGCUGUGGCACCAUUCGUCUCUCAGAGAAAUGCAGGAGAACAUGUUGGACCAAGGAGGAGGGGUGGCCCCGGUGUGGGAGUUUGUGAUGCAUCCAGUGUAGCAUGGUGGCUCUGGCUGAGGAAUGACUGUCUUUCCUUGUAGAAAUAGGAAGGCAACAAUGAGGAAAUUAGCCAAUGAACUGGUUGAUAAAUGGGUAUUUCCGUGUUCUUUAUAGAAGGCAAUUCUUAAGCUUGCUGAUGCGCACAUUGAUAUUUUGUAUGGGAGAUAUGGUUUCCGAUGGCGUUGUCCAAGAACAAGCAGCUCGAAAAGGGAGGAUUUUGUUACCCUAAUGCAGAUGAUCCCUGGCUUCUGAAACUUUAUUAUACGAACCGUGUUGGAGCUGCAGAGACAUGAGCUGCCUCUUGGAGCCGCAUACAGUCUAUUCGGGUGUGUACUUACCUGCAGUAUGUAUGGCAGUUGGAGCAGCUUGCCAAUUAGUACCAUGAAAGGUAAUAUACCUCUCCACCUCUAUGUAUCAUGGAUAUCAUUGUUGGGUGAGAAAUGCUAGAGCUUACCACCGUUCUGUUGUGCUAGAGCUUAGCACCGUUCUGUUGUGCUAGAUGUUUGGUGUUUCUCUUUAAUAAGAAACUAUUUCUCAGGAAGCGGAAUGCAACUAUGUUGCACCCCUCUUCCAGUUGGCAGGCAUUCACGGUAAAUCAUGAGUGUACGCCCUUUUUGUGUAUUUUAAUUUAUCCUGCAUUUGGUUCAGUUGCUACAUCCAGUAAUGGACUGCAAUUUAACCUGAGAGUUACACCGUCCUUGCUUAAAAAUCAUUACAGGCGACACUCAUUUUUUUUCAUUUGUCUUUCCAUUCUCCUUAAGAAGCUCUUUUAGUUUGUAUGCCCGGUAGGCCUUAAAGAUGAUGUGAUAAUCUAUUCCCGCGUAAAUUAUGGGGUUACUUGUUUCUUGAUAUCAGCUAUGACUUGCAUGAGCGAGAAUACACUAUUUUUACGUAUUUUGAUUUGUUGAGAUUUUCAAGUCACCUUUAUAUUUCUGUAGUAAUCUGAUAAUGUCUUAGGCUUCAGUUUGCACUUAUUUUACAAAAUUUUAUUUGUUAUACAUGUUAUCUUUAUACAUGAAAGAUUGAUUCUCCUUAAAAAAUCUUAUACUACCUCCGUUCCAAAAAAAGCUUCUCCCCUUUUCCCCAAAAUGGAUGUAUCUAUAACUAAAAGGUGUCUAUGUACAUCCGUAUUUGGACAAAGUUGAGAAGCUUUUUUUAGGACGGAGGUAGUACAUGAUUUGAAGCUUUCAAAAACCUACUAAAUUCUUGGACAACUAAACAAACAUCAGCUCAUUCAAACUUAUGGUUACAGUAUUGUCUUGCUUUUGCCUCGCGCCGGGGCGCACCGGGUCAUCUAUUAAUCCUUGCCAAGCUCAUUGUUGAGAUAUGUGCAGGUUCAAAUUCUGAAAAGGGUUCAAGAGAUUCAUAUUGAUAUGUCCCUCUCCACUUACUCCAUUGCAAGAGCCAUUAUUGGGGACCAAGGCCGUUGGCCUCUCUCUCGCAAGGCAGGACCAUGUCAAUCGGUAGUGCUAAUGGCUGGAGGAAGUAGUAUUCUGGCUGGUGACUUAUUGUCUUAAUUUCAUUGUUCAGUUGAGGUAGACGAUCAGAUGGAACAUGUACUGAAUUUGAGCCCACGAAGGUAUUUUUGCUAUAAUUUAUUCUGUUCAUCUCUAGCGUCACGCCUACUGUCAAUUCAGAUUAAAGCAUGGUACAGAAGUGCAUAGUUCUAAAGAAUGGAUGUUGAGCUCAGAUUUUAAUGUUUGGGUUUCGGUGGCAGGAGAUUCUUGCACUGUCGGUGACAACAGCUGGCAUUUGGUGAUUAGUAUUUUUUUUGCCUUUUAUAUUAAUGUACUUGUAAUUUAUCUUCCGUAAAUAUUUAUGAUUCAUGCUUGAGGGAUGCACAAGUAUAUGAGCUAUCAAUCAUGAAAUGGGAACUAAUUGUACUGUAUAACAAACUUUUUCAGUACGGGUAUUUGUUACACUAUUGAUUUGGAUUUAAACAAUGAUGUUUUAGUGUAGUUAUGGCGAUCCGUGAUCGCUAUAGUUUUUAAUUGCUAUUCAAUAGAAAAUGUGACCUGAUGCUUAAUAUUGCAGUGACUACGAGCAACAACUUGAGUAAGAGUGCCUGCUAUGGCUGGUCCAGGAUAGCCCCAAAAGAGCAGAUCCAUAUGGCAUGCACAAAAGUUAUUGCCAAGUGACUGCUUGAGAUCUUUUUUUUUUUGUAAGGAGCUUUAACCUUCUAGGUAGCUCGUUAGACUACUGUUUGCAAUUGCCCAAUAGUUUUGUACAGUGCUGUUGUCUAAUCAAUACCAAGCGCUACAAAUUACAUGACAUUUUAAUAGACUUCUGUCCCUCCUAUGAUAUAUUUAUACUGCAUCUAUGAUUGGUCGGGUUAUUCCCUUCAUGAAAAUAAAAUUCUCCUAUUUGUGAAUCCAACAUCAA